CAAGACCUUACUGUAACGACAAGUUUACUUUUUAAGUCUUUAUAUUGGCACAGCAGGACUCUGGAGAUGAUUUCUUUGUCUUUCUGUAUAGUUCUUCAGGAAUUUUGCCACAGUGCUUCUCCAGAGAUGGGGCAAAGUUCAGUCGCUGUGCAUGGGACCUGGAGAAGUGAACAUCGGGAACCCUCACCUCAUCCUAGUGAGAUCAGCUGAAC
rnacentral:lncRNA from 1 species